rnacentral:piRNA from 1 species
UGUUUUAAUUUUUUUUCAAAA